GGACUGCUGAGGAGUCCCGCAACGGGACGAAAUGGCCGUCCUGUGC
rnacentral:hammerhead_ribozyme from 1 species